AGUCGAACGAGAUCUUCGGAUCUAGUGGCAGACGGGUGAGUAACGCGUGGGAACCUGCCCAGUAGUAGAGAAUAACUUGGGGAAACUUAAGCUAAUACUUUAUACGUCCUUCGGGAGAAAGCUUUAUGCGCUAUUGGAUGGGCCCGCGUUAGAUUAGUUUGUUGGUGAGGUAACGGCUCACCAAGGCGACGAUCUAUAGCUGGUCUGAGAGGAUGAUCAGUCACACUGGGACUGAGACACGGCCCAGACUCCUACGGGAGGCAGCAGUGGGGAAUAUUGGACAAUGGGGGCAACCCUGAUCCAGCGAUGCCGCGUGAGUGAUGAAGGCCCUAGGGUUGUAAAACCCUUUCGUCAGGGAAGAUAAUGACGGUACCUGAAGAAGAAGAUCCGGCUAACUCCGUGCCAGCAGCCGCGGUAAUACGGAGGGGUCUAGCGUUAUUCGGAAUUACUGGGCGUAAAGCGAGCGUAGGCGGAUUUGUAAGUUGGAGGUGAAAUCCCAGAGCUUAACUCUGGAACUGCCCUCAAAACUACAUUUCUUGAGUUUGGUAGAGGAGAGUGGAAUUCCUAGUGUAGAGGUGAAAUUCGUAGAUAUUAGGAGGAACACCAGUGGCGAAGGCGACUCUCUGGGCCAAUACUGACGCUGAGGUUCGAAAGCAUGGGUAGCGAACAGGAUUAGAUACCCUGGUAGUCCAUGCAGUAAACGAUGAGUGCUAGAUGUUGGGAAUUUAAAUUUCCAGUAUCGCAGUUAACGCGUUAAGCACUCCGCCUGGGAAGUACGGCCGCAAGGCUAAAACUCAAAUGAAUUGACGGGGACCCGCACAAGCGGUGGAUCAUGUGGUAUAAUUCGAAGAUACGCGAAGAACCUUACCGGCCCUUGACAUACCAAUCGCGGACUUAAGA
rnacentral:rRNA from 1 species